GAUGAACGCUGGCGGCGUGCCUAAUACAUGCAAGUCGAGCGAACAGACGAGGAGCUUGCUCCUCUGACGUUAGCGGCGGACGGGUGAGUAACACGUGGAUAACCUACCUAUAAGACUGGGAUAACUUCGGGAAACCGGAGCUAAUACUGGAUAAUAUAUUGAACCGCAUGGUUCAAUAGUGAAAGACGGUUUUGCUGUCACUUAUAGAUGGAUCCGCGCCGCAUUAGCUAGUUGGUAAGGUAACGGCUUACCAAGGCAACGAUGCGUAGCCGACCUGAGAGGGUGAUCGGCCACACUGGAACUGAGACACGGUCCAGACUCCUACGGGAGGCAGCAGUAGGGAAUUUUCCGCAAUGGGCGAAAGCCUGACGGAGCAACGCCGCGUGAGUGAUGAAGGUCUUCGGAUCGUAAAACUCUGUUAUUAGGGAAGAACAAAUGUGUAAGUAACUAUGCACGUCUUGACGGUACCUAAUCAGAAAGCCACGGCUAACUACGUG
rnacentral:rRNA from 1 species